UACACUCUAUUCAAUAUACGUUUUCUGUAAAUACCCGUGACACAUUAUCUCUCUCUUUGACAACCUUUCACUUUAUACAAGACACAAAACAAAAACUCUCUUCUUUAAUAGAAAAAUCACAAUCUUUCUAUAUUUCUUUAAACAAACACACCCGAAAAGACUUAUUCACACAGAUAGUAAAUCAAGAUGGUGAAUGAAGAAAUGGUUCAAGUUCAAUCAAACAUACAAGAAAAUACAUAUACCGGAUAGAAAAUCAGAACGAAAAUGCUUAGAAAGAAAAUGCGCACAAACCCCAACCAAUUUUACGGUCAAAACACUUUGCCGGAAAGUUUGCCGGAAAAGUGAUCACCGUUGAAUCGGAUCGAAUCAGAAUAAUAUGAAGGAAUCAAGUCGAGGAACAGGUCGGAUUUUUCCCAUAGGCUCUGAUGCCAAUUGUAAAUAGUAGAUUUAGGCUUAAUUAUGGAUAAAUGGUAGAUUAUGUGUAGUGUGUGAAAAAGUGUGUUUUAGUGUGUGUUUUGAGGGAAUACCGGUAUUAGUAUAGACUUGAUAUUUAGAAUGAUUUUAUUAUAUGUAAGAGUUAAUUACAAAUGGGUGGAAGGGGAUAUUUAUACAUUUCACUAAUUAACAUUAACACUCUUUCCAUUAAUAUAAUUUUACAAUUAAACACCAUGAAUUAUAAAGCUUAACAAUUAUGCAUAUUCAUUUAAUAACUUAGAGCCAGUAACAGUUAUGAUGAUUUCUGUGUUCUUCCUCUUCAAAUCUUGUUCUCAUUUUUUAUUACGGUUUAAAAUGGACUGUAAAACCAAAGGAGAUAAUGCCUUCCAUACUGAAGUAUUUCCAGCCAGUUGUCCGAAAUAGGCCUGUGAUAUUAGAAACAUUAUUUAUAAAUUAUUAGGCACACGAACUUUAGUUUACAACUAAUUAUAAGAAGUAUAUAUAUGAAUAUGAUAUCCACGUGGUGAUCGUAUAUAAUUUUUGGGGUUAACAUAUAUAUUGUUGUUGCUGUACAUAUGUUUGGGUACCACAAGGGCAUUUUCAGGGGACAUUUUUAAAUAUUCAUAAUACUUUCGGAUUAAAUCUGUAACUAUUUUUUAAAUUUUUUUUCGUGCAUAUGUGGGUACUAUUUUUAUAGUACUUAAUUUCAAGAUUUGUUAAAAUAUAGAAAGUUCCUUACUAUUUUAUGCAACUAUAAUAUAAUGGGCCGGAUAAGUAUCUUGAGAUAUAUUAACUUGUACAGUUUUUUUAUUUUCUGUAAAAAAUCUUCGAUCCGAUUCAUUGUAUGUAAAUAAUAUGACUUACUUUGAAGAAGUUAUGAUGGAAAAAACUUCCAUUCCACAAUCAUCGAUCUGCAGUGUAAGCACUAGCAAAGAACCGAGGAACAAUGAAGGAAUGAAAUCUCCUUCAACUUUAACAUCCAAUAUAGGCUCUCCUUCACUUCCCACUACCAUAAUCUGACCGCUUCCCUUAACAACAUAAUUCAUCUGGACCGAUCCAUCUGCUACAUAACUUGGUGCCAAGAUAGAAUUGUCAAUUAACUUCACAAACUUUGCACUAGACCGAUCGCCUCAAGCAUUGGAAAGUUAUUUUCUGUCAAAGAAUUCACAGAUCCGCAGUCUAUGAAAGAAGUGUGGCGCAAUGGUUCAUCAAGGGUUGCGUAUAGUUUUUCUGAUGAACAAACACUCUUUCUUGCUGCCAUAGGUUUUAUAAAGCAUGAGAGUUUUAUUAAAUUUUUUAUUUAGUUGUUGUGUCUUGAUUUGAAUCAUUUUGUUUGUAUUAGUGAUCAUAUUAGUAAAUCUGGUAUUAUCUUGUGUGUAUCGUUUUUUUA